CCUACGGGAGGCAGCAGUGAGGAAUAUUGGUCAAUGGACGCAAGUCUGAACCAGCCAUGUCGCGUGCAGGAAGACGGCUCUAUGAGUUGUAAACUGCUUUUGUACGAGGGUAAACGCAGAUACGCGUAUCUGUCUGAAAGUAUCGUAUGAAUAAGGAUCGGCUAACUCCGUGCCAGCAGCCGCGGUAAUACGGAGGAUUCAAGCGUUAUCCGGAUUUAUUGGGUUUAAAGGGUGCGUAGGCUGGGUGGUAAGUCAGCGGUGAAAUGCCCCCGCUCAACGGGGUGAAUUGCCAUUGAUACUGGCAGGCUUGAGUGCGGAUGCGGUAGGAGGAAUGUGUGGUGUAGCGGUGAAAUGCAUAGAUAUCACGCAGAACACCGAUUGCGAAGGCAUCUCACGAAUCCGCGAUUGACGCUGAUGCACGAAAGCGUGGGUAUCAAACAGGAUUAGAUACCCCUGUAGUC
rnacentral:rRNA from 1 species